rnacentral:rRNA from 1 species
GAUGAACGCUGGCGGCGUGCCUAAUACAUGCAAGUCGAUCGAACAGACGCUGCUCUUGUUCCUUUGACGUUUGCCGCGGACGUGUGAGUAACACGUGGAUACCCUCCCUAUCAGUCUGGUAUAACCUCGGGAAUUCGGCGCUUAUACCGGAUAAUAUCUUGCUCCGUAUGGUUCAUUAGUGAAUGUCGGUUUUUCUGUCUCUUCUCGAUGCAUCCGCGCCGCAUUAGCUAGUUGGUAAGGUAACGGCUUACCAAGGCAACGAUGCGUAGCCGACCUGAGAGGGUGGUAGGCCACACUGGAGCGGAGACACGGUCAAGGCUCCUAAGGGAGGCAGCAGUAGGGAAUGUGACGCAAUGGGCGAAAGUUUGACGGAACAGGGGCGCGUGAGUGAUAAAGAUGUUGGGAGCGUAAAACUCUGUUAUUAGGGAAAAACAAAUGUGGAAGUAGAUAAGGACGGCUUGACGGUAACGAAUAAGAAAGCCACGGCUAACUACGUG